GUGCUCGCUUCGGCAGCACAUAUACUAAAAUUGGAACGAUACAGAGAAGAUUACUAUGGCCCCUGUGCAAGGAUGACACGUAAAAUCAAUGCUUAUUGGGGCUGGUAUUU